GGGUAAGAGUCUUAGCUCUACCUUAAUUUUUUUAUUGCACCAAACAAAACACUAGAUUUAAGAGCUAUUCAAAUAAGGCACAGCUUAUUUGAAAUGGGAUACAACCCCUAAUACUGGGUUAAUCUAGAUAUAUUAAAUAAAGUGGGCCUAAAAGCAGCCAUCUUCUAAAAAGCGUUAAAGCUUAACAUAUUAUUGUCUACAAUUCCACAAUUUUUACUUAACCCUUCAUCACUACUGAACUAUUUUAUACCCCUAUAAAAGUCAUUAUGCUAGAACUAGUAACAAGAAAUUGCCCUUCUCCAAAAUGUAUGUUUAAACCAAAAUGGACCCUCCACUGGUAGUUAACGUAAAUGUAAAAAUCAUAGUACCACACAACUAGAAAACCCUAUGACCUCCCCAACGUCAACCUUACACUAGAACAUUACAGGAAAGAUUAAAAGAGAAAGAAGGAACUCGGCAAACCACAGUCCCGCCUGUUUACCAAAAACACCGCCUCUUGCCCAAAUAUAAGAGGUCCAGCCUGCCCAGUGACAUAGUUUAACGGCCGCGGUACCCUAACCGUGCGAAGGUAGCAUAAUCACUUGUUCUUUAAAUAAGGACUCGUAUCAACGGCAUCACGAGGGCUGUACUGUCUCCUUUCUCCAAUCAGUGAAACUGAUCUCCCCGUGAAGAAGCGGGGAUUGACCUAUAAGACGAGAAGACCCCAUGGAGCUUUAAACCCAACACACACCCCUACGCACCCAAACCAAUACAGCCCAAGAGACUUGUGUGUUGGUUUUAGGUUGGGGGGACCGCGGAGUAAAAUCAAACCUCCAUGACAGACGGGCUAAUACCCUUAUCCAUGAACCACAAUUCUAAGAGCCAAUAAAUUGUUGUCUAAUGACCCAAUUACUUGAUCAACGAACCAAGUUACCCUGGGGAUAACAGCGCAAUCUACUUCAAGAGCCCCUAUCGACAAGUAGGUUUACGACCUCGAUGUUGGAUCAGGGUAUCCUAGUGGUGCAGCCGCUACUAAAGGUUCGUUUGUUCAACGAUUAAAACCCUACGUGAUCUG
rnacentral:rRNA from 1 species